ACCAGCUCUCUGAAUAAGGGACAGCUUAAAGAGUCAAUUCCUGUCUCUGCUCGCUGGUGUUUUGGUGACAGGCAUCAUGAGCUCAGAGACGGGAAUUUAUUCAUUCUUCCAAAUCAGCACCCUUUCAAACUACUCACCUCAGGAACCUGUCGACUCAUUCUGAUGAUGUCAGGCUAUUGUCACAAACGUGCCAGGAAUUCUUUUAGGAUUAAGACUGGAAUCUUGCAGCACAUUAUUAACAAUAAAUUCAAAGGUAAAGACAUACAGCCUCAGUCCUCCGAGCCUGAAGCAAAAAAUACAGACAUGCUGGGAUUCUAACACAGUUUUAUAUGAAGUCCGAAGCCCAAGUUCUCCUUCACUACAAAACAGUAGGAGUGAGGAAGAAAGUUCCAGAAAGCAGAGAUUUGGUGGGAGAAAUAUCAAGGAAGAAGAAAUGUUUGGAUUCACUACAUUUUUUGGGAAAAAAAGCAUACAGGAAGAAUCAGAGCACAGGGAAGGCUAUGGGGAUGAUACAGUGAAGGAAGGAGAGGGAGAGGAGGAGGAGGAAAUACGAACAUCUUGGGAAUUUCCUCUGGUUGUUUGGUGGGCAGAGUGACAGCCACAAAUACAGCACCGAAUGAGGUAAGCAUCUUGGGGGUUAUGAUUCUGAAUCCUCUUGAAGCUUCGGGACUCUGUUCAUUCAGUUGACCAAAUGGAAGAAGUCUGUAGCAUCAAUAGACAGUCAUCAGCCAGCCUUAAAUACACAGAUACUGAUCAUUAAAUACUGAAGAUACAAACAAUGGGGUAAGAAUCAGGCACAGAUUACAUGUCACUGAAAGGAGCAAAUCAGGCCAAAUUAAGUGACCUUCAGGUGGGACAUGAUACACAUUCCACACACCUGUGUGAACCCUUUAUUAAAGCAACAAUCAAAAUACAGGAUGGAUCACAUGUUGUUGUGUUUUUACUACAGUAAUAUCAACUUAUAUCUUAGUCAUUUGUUUACAAUUCCAAAUUAUUUCUUAUUUCUGCCCAAGUACAUUUUUUCAUCGUAUUUUCCAAUUUGCCAUAUUUACUCAGAAC